UUCAACGAAGAGAGCUGCUGUAUUAGGGUCCUCUCUCAGAUUUGAAUUUGUCAGGUCAUCCAUUUGAUUUUGAAAGAGGAACUCUUCGUGUGCGUGCUAGGGUUAGGGUUGGGAGAGAAUGCGAGAAAGAAAAAAAAGGGAGAACUUCAUGACUGCCACUUAACCGGAGGCUGGACCUGAUCGGAAAAGUUCGAACCAGCAAAGUCAAAGUAGAUGAUCGGUGUGGAGCGCGGAAGGCUUUUACCAUGCUCUCCGUCCACCGCAAUGUUGCUAUCAACGACCUCGCCCUACAUUCGUCCAAUCAACGCACCAUCACCGUUGCCCGUGACAACUGCCUUGCCGUCGUCAAUUUCGUCCGCGGUCGCUGCAACUGAUGCUUGCGCCUCAACAAGGAACUUACUUUGGUCAAGUUCAAUGCGCCCAGUGACCACUUUUUUAUGCUUGCGCCUCAACUGAUUUAUCUUUGGGAAGAUUUUACGCAUAGAUUGGAGACUAUUUUGAAGCAUCAAUGAACCGUGAGAAGUUCCCGGAGAAGUUGAUUUGGUGGACUCCAUUGCUAUAUCCUUCUUCAUAUUGUGUAUAUCUCUACCCUUGCACUCUCAGAUGAACUUUGCGUCCAUCUCCAUUGCAUCCACCUUUACGAAUCUCUCUUGUCUCUGUUUUGGUCCAAUUCUAUUCUUUGGCCGAGGAUCUAAUGCAACUAAUCACACUAUAAUCUUGGAGCUUGAAUCGCAAGCUUAGACAGAACUGCAGUUACUAGAAGAUGACAAAUACUUGCCUUCCACCUGACACAUCAUGACAAUGGUUCCUAGAAUUUGUAGUAUUGAGAAAGCACACCAUCCUACUUUGUUUUCAUUUCCAAGUCUAGCACACUUUCAUCUGUGGAAGCCUAAAAUAAAAGCUUUCAAGUGUUGGUAUCAUUGAGAAAAUAACACUUCAAAGAAGAUUAACAUAGACAUCGAGCUGUUUAAAGUAUAUAUGGAGGUUCCAUUGAAGUUUAAUUUUCUUAUGAGUAGGAAAUUUUCAACUGAUAUUUUAUUUAACUGUCUCCCCUGUAGAAUAGUGGGGAAGAAGUAAAGAACAACUGUUCUUAGCAAAAGGCUAGAAAAUGUUGUUGUAUGGUAUGAGAAAACAACUGAUAGUAUCAUAACUUUGUGUUUAGCCAUUUUGGCACAAGUAGCCUUGGUUCCAGGGAGUACAUGUGGAGAUGAUUCUUUGUUCCGCAUUUGUUAUGCGGAAUCCCUUACUACCCUACAAACAGCUGUAGAAAGAAUUAAGAAGGAUUAUUUUGUACUGAAACAAGGAAAUUGUAAUGGGGUGUUCCCAAGUAUUAGACAUUUAAACAGUGAUACUGUGAUCUAAAUAGCCAGUUAUGUUUAUUGAAAUAUAGUACUGCAUUAGGUGAUUUA